ensembl:snoRNA
ACGUGCUGCUUUUGAGUCCCUGGUGUCCUUCCUUGUGGCACCCGUAGGUUAAGCUGUGGUGCUAUAGCAGUUGCUAGUUCAUACUGGAACCACCUGCUCAAGGGAGGCCCUUUUAACUGCUAGCCACAGCA